CUGAUAACGAUUUUUGCUAUUAAAGUAACAUUUAUUCAUAUGGAAUAUGGAGCUUGAUUAGUACAUGAAAUGAAAUGAUGAAAAUAUCAUCAUACCAAAUUCAAAAUAAAGAAAAUAGAAUGGGUGGGGGUGGUAAUGAAAAGGACUUUAGGGAAAUGGACUGACAUUGUUUAGCUAUUAGAUUCCCUUUUACAUAAAAACGUCACAUGCCUCCUCAUUGGCUUUUGUGUAACCCCACUCCUUCUUUUGUCAUUCUU